UACAGGGGGGGCAAGCGUUGUUCGGAAUUACUGGACGUAAAGGGCUCGUAGGUGGCCAACUAAGUCAGACGUGAAAUCCCUCAGCUUAACUGGGGAACUGCGUCUGAUACUGGAUGGCUUGAGUUUGGGAGAGGGAUGCGGAAUUCCAGGUGUAGCGGUGAAAUGCGUAGAUAUCUGGAGGAACACCGGUGGCGAAGGCGGCAUCCUGGACCAAUACUGACACUGAGGAGCGAAAGCCAGGGGAGCAAACGGG
rnacentral:rRNA from 1 species